rnacentral:rRNA from 1 species
UACGUAGGGUGCAAGCGUUGUCCGGAUUUAUUGGGCGUAAAGCGCUCGCAGGUGGUUCGAUGCGUCGUGCGUGAAAGACCCCGGCUCAACUGGGGAGGGUCGUGCGAUACGGUCGGACUGGAGGCCAGUAGGGGGUGGAAUUCCGCGUGUAGCAGUGAAAUGCGUAGAGAUGCGGAGGAACACCGAUGGCGAAGGCAGCCCCUGGGCCAAUACUGACGCUCAGGCACGAAAGCGUGGGGAGCAACAGG